AUUCUUUUGUAUCUCACAAGUGUGACUGGGUUUUUAGGCUCAUGUGUGAGAUGUGCUUCCCUCAAAAAUUGUUGUGACUGUGGCAUGUUACCUAUGUGAUG
rnacentral:snoRNA from 1 species